GCAAGUCGAACGAGAACGGGUAUUAGUUUACUAAUACUGUCAGCUCAGUGGCGCACGGGUGCGUAUUAUUUAGGUAACGUUCCCUAGAGAAGAGGAUAACAUUUGGAAACGAAUGCUAAGACUCUAUAUGCCUUUAAGUCUUAAGACUGCAAGGGAAAUAUUUAUAGCUCUAGGAUCGGCCUGCACGGUAUCAGUUAGUUGGUGAGGUAAUGGCUCACCAAGACAAUGACACCUAGCUGGUUUGAGAGGAUGAUC
rnacentral:rRNA from 1 species